GACGAACGCUGGCGGCGUGCCUAAUACAUGCAAGUAGAACGCUGAAGGAGGAGCUUGCUUCUCUGGAUGAGUUGCGAACGGGUGAGUAACGCGUAGGUAACCUGCCUGGUAGCGGGGGAUAACUAUUGGAAACGAUAGCUAAUACCGCAUAAGAUCGACUAUUGCAUGAUAGUCAGUUAAAAGGUGCAAUUGCAUCACUACCAGAUGGACCUGCGUUGUAUUAGCUAGUUGGUGGGGUAACGGCUCACCAAGGCGACGAUACAUAGCCGACCUGAGAGGGGGGACGGCCACACUGGGACUGGGACACGGCCCAGACUCCUACGGGAGGCAGCAGGAGGGAAUCUUCGGCAAUGGACGGAAGUCUGACCGAGCAACGCCGCGUGAGGGGAGAAGGUUGUCGGGUCGUAAAGCUCUGUUGUAAGAGAAGAACGAGUGUGAGAGUGGAAAGUUCACACUGUGACGGUAACUUACCAGAAAGGGACGGCUAACUACGUG
rnacentral:rRNA from 1 species